AGUGCUUCAACUGUAAGUAAAUGAAAAGAAAUGUGUAAGAAAAGGUAGUGUUUCGCAGCCAAGGAAAUAAGGAAAACAGAAAUUGUAAGAAUAGAAAGUGCAAGUUGAAUUGAAAGAAAUUAACAAGAAAUUGAAUGUAAAUUCACAAGGAAAAUUAGGUAAAUGUAAAAAAUAAGUAAAAGGAACAUUAAAGUGUUGGACAAUUAACGAAAAAAUCAAAAUAAAAGCAGUUUUGAAGAAAAGAAAAGAAAAUCAUGCCACGCUGCAAUCUCGUAGGGUAGACAAAGAAAAAAGACCGAAGCCUCCUAACCUUGUCAAAAUUCAAACGAGCUUGACGAGUGAGACAAGCCUGAACGAUUUUAAACGUAGGAAGGGCUUUCCAGGUUCGUUCGAACGCAAGCCCUUGUUCAAGGGGCUUGGUUCUGAUCCAUGGACAAAUACCGCUCAAUGAGAGCCGGAAGAGUGGAUUUGACGUCCGACACCACAUCAAGGAUAGAGUCCAUGUCAUUGGGUGGGGUAACGAUUGAUUUAAAAGUAGCCUUACUAACAGGCUUUGCCAGCAAUAUUAAUUUUGAUAUAUAAAAUGCUGACAAAAAAAAUCGUACCAACAAAUCACCCUUUAACUGUCUCUCCCGAAUAACUCUUCUAUGAAAGGAAGGAAUUAUUCGAGGGAUACCGGACCUUGUGAGAGAGACCGGGACGGAAAGGUCCGGGGGAACCGGUGGGGUUCCCCCAUAGAACAACUGUAGACUAGUUGCAGCUUGUAUAUAAUGCUACAAAAAGCCAACCAGAUGCUCGCCCAAGGGAAGGGGCACGAUCCGCUUUGCCAGUAAGUGUGUAGCAAUACACAUUUCCUUGGUAAGACCAUCCUGAAUGAUCAAAAGAACCCUUGAAAGAAUUCCUUUAAUCAUCCUAGGGUUUUCUAAGACCCUAUGCCAAAGCAAGAGUCUGACCGAUAUCAAAGAUGAAAACAAUUUGUGCAUCGUAGUCAUGUCUAUUUAUGAGAUGGCUCGCCCCCCUUUCCUAUAUGGAGGAAAGGGAAAUGCACUCGGAUGCAUACCUACCAAGGUCUGACAUCCCAGCCCAGUGGUUAUCCCACACCCUGGUUACUACUAUUUUAAGACUGCACAAAGAGCAAUCAAGCUCUGAUAAGAAUCAGACACUCGCUUACUCACCCACUUGGGAACGAUCUUGUCGCCCCAUAGGGGGGCACCUCUGGAUACUAAACCAAAGGAGAUGUGAUCAAGAAAAUGUGCAAGAAAGUAAAUUUACACUACUCCUAAUCUAAUCCUACUUUAAUUAGCUCUCUAAGCAACUCUAUUACUUCCCUAACACUUUUCUCCUUCAAAUGGAAGCAACUAGCAGUAUUU
rnacentral:lncRNA from 1 species